rnacentral:rRNA from 1 species
UACGGAGGGGGCUAGCGUUGUUCGGAAUUACUGGGCGUAAAGCGCACGUAGGCGGCUUUGUAAGUUAGAGGUGAAAGCCCGGGGCUCAACUCCGGAAUUGCCUUUAAGACUGCAUCGCUAGAAUUGUGGAGAGGUAAGUGGAAUUCCGAGUGUAGAGGUGAAACUCGUAGAUAUCGGGAGGAACACCAGUGGCGAAGGCGACUUCCUGGCCUGUUCUUGACGCUGAGGCGCGAAAGCUAGGGGAGCAAACGGG